GGGCUCUUUCCGAGGCAAGAAGGGAUCAGAGGAAAGGGAGGCGGUGGUGGGAACCAAGUCUGGUCAGUCACGCUGAUUUAGGAACAUGUGAGAAUGUGGGAAUGUUUAUUCCAGCCGGGCUGUCUGAUGGAGGACUUCUAAGCCGGGAGGCAAUGACCAGAAACAGACCUCCCAGCCACACUAAUUGGUGGGCUAACGAGCUACAGGCACCACUUCCAGGAAGGAUGAACCUUGCAGCUGGUGGGGGACAUGAAGCAGAGAGAGAUGCAGGUCCGGAGCCAGAGCCUGUCCGUGUGUCCCUCUUGUCCAGCUGGGUGUGAACACAGCAAUCCCUCUUGCUCCUCAUGGCACUCACGUGUGCCCUUGCAAUCCAGUGUAGGGCUGGUUCCCACUGGCUCCCACCACCCCAGGUGCAGGUGCCCCACAUGGGGCUGCAGGAGCUGGGAGGCACGUUAUUCCCCUCCCUGCACUUGUAGGGAGAUCUCCUACAGCGGCUGUGGAGAACCAAUAGGAAGACCUUGAUAAUAAAUGCUGCGAACCGCAGGACUGAAGUUA